rnacentral:rRNA from 1 species
CGAAAGCCUGACGGAGCAACGCCGCGCGAGGGAUGGAGGCCUUUGGGCUGUAAACCUCUUUUCUCAAGGAAGAAGAUCUGACGGUACUUGAGGAAUAAGCCACGGCUAAUUCCGAGCCAGCAGCCGCGGUAAUACGGGAGUGGCAAGCGUUAUCCGGAAUUAUCGGGCGUAAAGCGUCCGCAGGCGGCCGUUUAAGUCUGCUGUUAAAUCGUGGAGCUCAACUCCAUCACGGCAAUGGAAACUGUUCGGCUUGAGUAUGGUAGGGGCAGAGGGAAUUUCCGGUGUAGCGGUGAAAUGCGUAGAUAUCGGGAAGAACACCAGUGGCGAAAGCGCUCUGCUGGGCCAUUACUGACGCUCAUGGACGAAAGCCAGGGGAGCGAAAGGGAUUAGAUACCCCUGUAGUCCUGGCCGUAAACGAUGAACACUAGAUGUUGGGGGAAUCGACCCCCUCGGUGUCGUAGCUAACGCGUUAAGUGUUCCGCCUGGGGAGUACGCACGCAAGUGUGAAACUCAAAGGAAUUGACGGGGGCCCGCACAAGCGGUGGAGUAUGUGGUUUAAUUCGAUGCAACGCGAAGAACCUUACCAAGGCUUGACAUCCUGCGAAUCUCUAAGAAAUUAGAGAGUGCCUUCGGGAACGCAGUGACAGGUGGUGCAUGGCUGUCGUCAGCUCGUGUCGUGAGAUGUUGGGUUAAGUCCCGCAACGAGCGCAACCCACGUUUUUAGUUGCCAGCAUUCAGUUGGGCACUCUAGAAAGACUGCCGGUGACAAACCGGAGGAAGGUGUGGACGACGUCAAGUCAUCAUGCCCCUUACGCCUUGGGCUACACACGUACUACAAUGCUGCGGACAAAGAGUAGCGAUCUUGCGAAAGUUAGCUAAUCUCAUAAACCGUGGCUCAGUUCAGAUCGUAGGCUGCAACUCGCCUACGUGAAGGAGGAAUCGCUAGUAAUCGCAGGUCAGCAUACUGCGGUGAAUACGUUCCCGGGCCUUGUACACACCGCCCGUCACACCAUGGAAGUUGGCCAUGCCCGAAGUCGUUACUCUAACCUUUUGGAAGAGGGCGCCGAAGGCAGGGCUAAUGACUGGGGUGAAGUCGUAACAAGGUAGCCGUAGCGGAAGCUGCGGCUGGAUCACCUCCUAA